GUGCUUGUUUCAGCAGCACAUAUACUAAAAAUUGGAAUGAGACGAAGAAAAUAGCAUGGUCCCUACACAGGGACCACCAGCAAAUUCAUGAAGCGUUCUAUAUUUUU
ensembl:snRNA U6 U6 spliceosomal RNA